rnacentral:rRNA from 1 species
GACAGAGGAUGCAAGCGUUAUCCGGAAUGAUUGGGCGUAAAGCGUCUGUAGGUGGCUUUUUAAGUCCGCCGUCAAAUCCCAGGGCUCAACCCUGGACAGGCGGUGGAAACUACCAAGCUGGAGUACGGUAGGGGCAGAGGGAAUUUCCGGUGGAGCGGUGAAAUGCGUAGAUAUCGGAAGGAACACCUGUGGCGAAAGCGGCUCACUGGACCAUUACUGACGCUGAUGCACGAAAGCUAGGGGAGAAACAGG